CCGUGCGCUGCAGCAGGAGGACCUCGUCGUCUCUCCAUUCUCAAUGCCGUAGUUGGCAUCGACUCCCCCAAACUCCCAGUCCAUCGCCCUCACAACCACAAGUCUAUUCUCUGUGUCCGUGGGUUUUGUGGACAGGUUCCUUUGUGCCAUGGUUUAGAUUCCACCUCUAAGUGAGAUCAGGUGGUAUCCGUCUAUCUCUUUCUCACGUCCUUCGCUUUGUAUGAGAAUCUCUCGAUCCAUCCCUAUUGUUUUGAAGGGCAUUGGUUUCUUCUUUGAUUUUCUGGCUGAGUCGUGAAUUCCAUCGUAUAUGUGGACCACAUCGUCGGAUCCAUUCGUCUGUCUGGGGACAUGAGGUGGCUUCCCUGUCUUGGCUGUUGUGAGUAGUGCCGCCAUAAACACACAGGGGCAUAUAGUCUUUUGCCUGGAUACGUUUGUCCUGAUAUUUUCCAGGGCGCUCGCUCGACUUGCUGGGUGCCAUGCUGUGCUAUGUUCAGUUUUCGGAGGCCCCUCCGUGGUGUCUUCCGUAGUGGUUGUACCAGUGUACAUUUGCACCGGCAGUGCUGGGGGGACGCCUUUUCUCCACCCGUGUCUGCGACCGACACCAGAGCUCGCGGCAGCGCUGGAUCCUUAACCCCCUCAGCGAGGCCAGGGAUCAACCCCGCAAGCUCGUGGUUCCUAGUCGGAUUGUUUCCGCUGUGCCCCGACGGGACCUCCUGGGUCGUUUCGUUGUUGCUGCGGUGAGGUGUAUGAGUUUUCUUUAUGUAUGUUUUGGAGAGGAACCUCACGGGCAGUGGUACCUUUCUCCUCAGUGUUUCUGUAGAGCUGCUUGCUGUCCACAGUGUGGCAGCCACUGGCCAGAGGGAGCCAUUUAUGUUUGAUUGAAUUCAAUCCGUAGUUAGGUCUGCCUCUUGCAGUGAACACAACAAAGCAGCCAGUGGUUCACUCACACACGCCACCGCGCAAGUGUGUCCGUGCAGCUGGAAUUUCAACCUGGAGCUGAGACCUCCAGAUGGACUCCUAGAAGGGUGACGUGUAAAGCUGCAUCCCUCAGCAGCCCACGAUCUUGGCAGGUUUGCCACUGUGACCAAUGUUUUAUUGAAGCUUCUGAGGCCGUAGAGCACAGGGAAGUUCCGAGCACACAGAGGACAAGCCAGGGCGGUGCUGUGUGGCCCAAAACAACCUUAAGUAGGAGACAUGAGUGGGGGACGGUUUCUGACACCUUGAUUCCUCAUGUCUGUGUUUCUGCAGUGUGGAGCAUUGUGAGUCUGUGUGGCAGCAACCACGAAGAAAGUGAUACAGGUAAGAAUAGCUCUCAGGUAGGGGCCAGUGGGAGAGGGUUCGCGGGACACUUGGGUUAUGCCUGCUGCUUGGAGGGUGGGGCGGGUGAGUCUGCAAUUGAAAAACAGAAAGAAAUUGGUGUAAAGAUGUUCGUCGCCUAUUUUCCUAAGGAGGGGAGCAGGUAUGAGAUGCCCGAAUGUUGGCAUCUGUGCUCGCAUUGUGUUGAAGGGUCUCAGUCCUGGAGCAGAGGGACGGUCUGGGCACCUGGAGGAAAAACCAGGGUGAUGCUCUGUGACCUGCUGUCACCUCGGGGAAGCGGGGGAAACGGGAGGGCCACUCCUUCUAACUCCUCGAUUCCCCGCGGUGUGUUUCUACAGACUUGGUGGCGGAGAGCACCGACUGCCGCCAGGAUGAGGAGGCUGCAGCAACCCCCGACGAUGUUGUGGAGGCCGGUGGGAGUGAGAAGACCAAGGAGGAGGCCCUGGCUGGGGAAACUGAGGAGGAGAUGGGGCUGGGGACUGUGAAGGCGGAGGAGGAGGAGGAAAAGGAGGAAGCUGCAGCCAUAGACAAGGCGGAGGAGGAGGCGGCCCAGCCCAUGAAAAUGACAAGGAGGAGUCGCCAGCCAGCGACCGGGCUGAGCACGAAGACAAGCCUGCCCCAAGGUAAGCUCACCUUUCUUGAUGUGAGAUUUGAAAAGUUGCCUUUUUUCUUUUUUGAUAUCCCUAUCUCAGAAAUGGAAAUCUGAGAAAGUCCGUUAUAGAGGGUAUAUGCAGAUUCCUCUGCGGAGGAAUGUUGAGUCAAAGUUUGGUACCAACCAAUAACUCCUUCCAAGGGGCACUGGCCAAAGUGACCGCAUCAGUUCCCAAGUGUACGGCAGGGAGCAUUUUUCUUUGAAGAAGCCUGAAUGUUGUUUUGUUUUGUUUUGUUUUGUUUGUCUUUUUGCCUUUUCUAGGGCCACUCCCGUGGCAUAUGGAGUUUCCCAGGCCAGGGGUCUCAUCGGUGCUGUAGACACCGGCCUACGCCAGAGACGCAGCAGCGUGGGAUCCGAGCCAUGUCGGCAGCCUACACCACAGCUCAUGGCAAUGCCGGAUCCUUAACCUACUGAGCAAGGCCAGGGAUGCAAACCGCAACCGCAUGGUUCCUGGUGGGAUUGGUUAACCACUGUGCCACGACGGGAACUCCAAAAAAGCCUCAAUGUUUUUUAAAUGAACACGGCCUUGGGAGAUCUUCCAUGAGAAGCUGGCGCCUUUGCAAAGGGGUCUUCGCUGUCUUCUCUUGGGGAAACUGACUCAACUCUGCCUUCUGUCUGCGUGCCUGCGGUCCCAACGGCAGGAAGACCUGUGGCCGCAGUGCAGAGGAUGCUGUGACGCUCACAGUGUUUUCUUUUCUCUCAUCACAGGUGGACGGGACGGACGAUGAAAGCUGUGAGUAUUCUGGAACCCUGCUCUGCUGAGGAGAAGUCCAGGUGUUGAGGAAGGGAGGGGGCUUUCCUGCUCCUUUGGUUGCAGAGACACCCUGAUUCUG
rnacentral:lncRNA from 1 species